CCUACGGGAGGCAGCAGUGGGGAAUAUUGCACAAUGGGGGAAACCCUGAUGCAGCGACGCCGCGUGAGUGAAGAAGUAUUUCGGUAUGUAAAGCUCUAUCAGCAGGGAAGAAAAAAGACGGUACCUGACUAAGAAGCCCCGGCUAACUACGUGCCAGCAGCCGCGGUAAUACGUAGGGGGCAAGCGUUAUCCGGAUUUAUUGGGUUUAAAGGGUGCGUAGGCGGACUGUUAAGUCAGCGGUAAAAGCCCGGGGCUCAACCCCGGCGAGCCGUUGAAACUGGCUGUCUUGAGAUGUCGAGAGGUAUGCGGAAUGCGCAGUGUAGCGGUGAAAUGCUUAGAUAUUGCGCAGAACUCCGAUUGCGAAGGCAUCUCACGAAUCCGCGAUUGACGCUGAUGCACGAAAGCGUGGGUAUCAAACAGGAUUAGAUACCCGAGUAGUC
rnacentral:rRNA from 1 species